UCUGAAGUUAUACAAAUCUGGAUUGAGAACCAGCUUUGCCACAGAAUCACUGUGUGACCUUGGGCAGGUGAGGUCACCUCCCUAAAUUAGAAUCUCCACCUACAGAUUGGUAAGAAUAAUAAUAGUGCUUGAUAGAUUGUUGAGAACAUUAAAUAAGCAAGAACACGUAAAGUUAACAGCUUAGUGCUUGUCACAUGGUACAUGGUAAAUAAACAUUAGCCAAUACUAUUCUUACUGAGGUGUCUGUCAAUAUCUUUUCACUACAAAGAACAAUGGUUCAUUUGGGUUGUGGGAGUAGGGGUACUAUGAGGAUAUUUGUGGAAGUAAAGACUUUAAGAAUCUUCUUGGAAUUCAGGAAAAGUGACAGAGUCAGUCCUCCUGGACACUGGCAGCCAUUCAGGAAUGAGAGGCAUCCAGUGAAGAGCUGCUGAUCUGAGUCAUCUUGUUGCCUUGGAAAAAAGUAAAUCUAGAUAGAUGUUCUCACAUUUCCCUUCUUCACCCUAAAGCACCACCUUGGUGUGCUGUCUGGACUCUGGGUGCUAGAGGAGUUAAGGGUCAUGGGAUCUAGGAUCAUAGUUCCCCGACCACAGAAUCUUCAAUCCCCGACCAGGGAUUGAACCGGCACCCCCUGCAGCUUGGAGUCCUAACCACUGGACCGCCAGGGAAUUCCCAGAAUUGGGAUUUAUUGUGAAGGUUAGCUUUCCACAGAUAUCUCAUACCUAGUCUUUGUAUUUGACAACGUUUAAGAGUGUGAUACUAAAAUACUGACUGGAAGCUCUGAGGAUGUGAGAGAUGGACUGGUCUGAUACCCUGAUCUGGAGGCUGGGGUUGCAGUGGUGAACAAGACAUAAAAAGUUCCUGCAUUCGUGGAGCUGAUAUUCUGAUGGAAAACAAACAAAUGCAUAAAUAUAUACUGUUUUUUCAGUUUGUGGAGCAAAACAAGGCCCUUGAAGUCUCGCCUGAAGCAAAGGUCCCAGAAUCAUCUUAGGGUUUCUCAGGAAAAUCCUAACUCUGGCCACAGAAGCAGGCCCCAUUCCAUAGAAUCACUUCCCCAGAAGCACUCUCUCCUUCGGUUUGGAAUAAGUGAUGUCAUGCUGGUAGCCUGAGGUUGGCUGGCAGGAGUCAGGAGCCAAGGAAUCAUACCAUGGAAGGCAGAAACACUACAAAUCUGGACUCUUCUCCUGGAGAUCUGGUUGUUAAACCUUUACCAGAACACCUUUGGCAUGGCGUGCUUCUGCUGAGAAAUAUGUUUCCUGUAGUUUCCUUGGCAUGGUCCUAUCUCAUCUACUUGAUCACUUAAAGUUUUCCCCUGAGUAGUUCUCUGUUAGGGACACCUCAUCCCUCGAGGCACCCCUAGUUGGUAGAGUCACUCUUAAGAAACCCUAUAUGGCUCCUUCCUAUGUGGUCCACUUCUGGCCUGUGAGAAAUUCAUCUUCAUUUUUCUGCCUGAAACACAGGCCAUUCCUAUCAGAAUUCUCUUUCCUUAUGCUGUAGACAGAGCAGCAAGGCUCCAGUAAGAACCUAGUUGCAUCCUCUUGCCCCCAGACUCAGGUGCCAGUCCUUAUGUUCCUUAAACUCAAGAGAAUAUGUGCCAAGACCUUUGAAUACUCUCUUGAAGUGCUUGCCUUGCUUGUCUUGAGGUGGGGAGAAGCACACCUCCUCAAUCCCUACAGGGAUGCUGAUGGAAAUAUUCAGAUCAUGUGACAACCCUCUUCAAACAAAUGCAUAGUUUCCCAUCUUUAGACUCUUCUCAUGGAUUCUUAGCCUACAUAUACAGCCUGGACAUGAGUGGUGUGCUGACAGUAAAACUGGGUUAGGGUGUCCCCUUACAGUCUAAUGCCUAAGCUUAGAACAUGACUGUCUUUGCUACUUAUUGUUUAUCCUGUGUUUGGGGGCCUCUGCUCAAAGCAGAAGAUAAAACAAAGAGUCACAUCUAAAAACCUGUUAUACGUAUCAUGGCCUCAGUUUGCUUUUUUCAAAUUUUCUCAUUUGGGAGUUGAGGCAACCUAGGCUGUUCAUGCGCCACAUGGGCUGUGGAAGUGUUCCAUGGACUGUGAGACUCAGGCUGGGUUGUUCAUUUACUGCCUCGCAGCAGAUGGGAGCACAGGUGUUGGUGCAAAUGAUAAGAGAAGACAGAGCUAAGGUUGUACUGGGAGAGUGAUAUUAGGUAUCAAGUAUCGGGAGCAGAUCACCAGACCAAGAUGGGAGAUGAGAGAACAAGUGAGAAGCUGAGGAGAUCAAGAUCAUGUUGGGAAGUGGGUGUGGCUGUCAAUGAGCCCCUUAUUACCAUGCUUUUAACCUGCCGGCAUAGGCCACUCAGCUGGCGGGGAGCUGGUCAGCAGGUUGAAAGCACAGGGUGGGUAUGGACAGUGCCAUUUUAACUUCCUCAGCAUCAAUUAGAUGGGGCUCUUAUUUCUUAUCUAGUUCCUUACCAAUUAUGCCUUCACCAGUAAGAUAUAAAAAGAAGUAGUACUCAAGUGAGACCAUUUUCAAAAUAAGCAUCAGUUUGGCAUCCAGCGUAGUAGAGUGCUAAGAUGAUACUAGACAAGUACAUGUUUCUAGCUUAGUGAACACCUGCCUUAAUUCAAUAAUCAUUUUUGUCUAUAACAUUUCCUUGAGGGCAAUAUCUUAUGUAGUGCCCUGCCAAUACUACCACAUUGGUAGACAACAAGUGGACACAAUAAUUUCUUACUAAAGUGUUUCUCUAAAAGCUCUUAAGUUCUGCUCACAUACAAAUUACAAGCCCAAACUCCCUGAUCUGCACAGCAUGCUGUAAUCUCCCCGGAAUUCACCUGAUCUGUCUUAUUUCCCACUGCUUCUCUACAUAUAUGCUGUGUUCAGCCAAGUGUUUUACAAGUUGCCUCUGGACACAUUUUUUUCUCUUGUUCAUGUCGGGGACUAGAAUGUGCCACCCCCCAAAAAUAUCACUUUGGCAUAAGGAUUAUUUUGAGCUGGAGGCAAAUGAGAAUCAAAAGAUGCAGAAAGAAGCCUACGUGACUAAAAGAAACUUCUGAAAAAUGGACUGCAAUGCAUACAUCCCCUCUCCUUGGGCAGUUUUACAGCCAUGAAGAAGACAGAAAGUCAAGAUGGACCUGCACAAACAAGCCUUAUUCCAUUAGCUGCCCCCACAUAUUUACCUUCUCAUGGGUUGCUGCUCCUGAAAGUCUGAAACUCUUUUCCUUUGUCACAUCUCUGCAAACUACUGUUGUUUUCUUAAGAUGCUAUAUUACCCCAAGUUCUAACCAUGCAUUUGAGUUACUCUUCAAUGAGAUUUCUCCCAAAUGAUGUGCCCUGUGUUAAUAAACUGUUUUU